rnacentral:lncRNA from 1 species
GCUCCCGCUCUUCCUCCUCCGAGUCGUUCCGCUUGCGCACGUUCACCCGCCGAGCUUUUCGGAACAUCCCCGCGGCCAGCACGACCAACGCGACACCAGCUCCCACACGGCGGACCAGGACCCCCAUAUCUUCCAGGACUCUGCCGAGUAGGACACUGUGUUGAAGGCAGACCGUGAAGAGGCAGGUAACUGUCUGGACUCAGGGGCCAAGUAAACAGCUGAUGAUAAAAUACGGCGGGGGGCUCUGUGUGGCAAUGUUGAACAUUUACCCGAGAUUUUAUGUCUCCCUGUCCUUUUAAAUCAUUUGCUUCCAUUUACUUUGCUCUGUGCACUAGCCAGGGCAUAUAGUUUAAAUCAAUUCAGCAAAAAACAAGCACUGGGAAGACUUAAAGCCACACCCUAGACUGCCUCUCUGAUUCUAUUGCAGUCUGUGAGUGGUGAAUGAAUGUUUGUGCGCCCUGUGGUUGAAAUCUGGUUUUGUGCUGCAUUAAUUUUAUUCUCCUUCUCUCAGUAGAUGGCAAAAGCGAGCAGGCUCCUUACAGCACAUGCAAAUCACACCCAGUGUGUGAAGUAGAAGCGAAACCAAUACCCACCUCCCCAGGGCCCCUUGCAUGAAUGGCUGAUGGCAGUGCUCCCCCGGAAACCAGGUCCGCUCUCCAGGCUCCCUUGCCCUGCAGGGCCUGCGGCUCCCCAGUUGCUUCCCCUCAAGAAGCCGGAAGAGAAGUGGCGCAAGCUUCUACCUACGCGGAGGAAGGUGCGAGCCUCGUGAUGAAGACAGAACUGGAGAAGAGGAGUGGAUUGAGAGAAGGAGUAAGGAGGGUAUCCUUUCAGGCAGAGACCCUCCAGGGAGACAGGAAUCAGGAGCCGUCUGAGGAAGUGCCUUUGGGUUGGGGAGUGGAGCUUUUCACCCAUUGGUCUUGAAAAGAGCCUGAAUUGUAAUCAGCCGCAUCGCUUGGGAUCCGCGCAGGACCCAGCUAGGCGGUAAUUUACCUUACAAGGCCAACUUGACUGAAUGUUUUCUUUUAGAUAUGGAGACGAUUCCAUGUUCAGAGAUCGUGCGCGUGCCUUGCUGGGUGCACGGGGGCCCUGAGCAGGUGCUGAGGGAGCGCUGUUAGGUGGAAGGUUGUGCGAUCAUAUUAACUCACCCAAAACGAUACUGCUGCCUCCCUGUCUACGAAAUCUCUGGAACUCAAAUUACACUUUCUUUUUUAAACUUUUAAAAAAUUUUGGCCGGGCGUGGUGGCCCGCGCCUGUAAUCCCAGCACUCAGGAGGCUGAGGCAGGAGGAUCGCUGUGCGUUCGAGACCAGCUUGUGCUACAUAGUGAGUUCCAGGUCAGUCUCAACAACAUAGUAAGACCCUGUCUGAAAAAGAAAAAUCUUAUUGAUACUUUUUUAGAAUACAGUGCAGUUACACUCAUCGUUGGGAUCUGGUGCCCUUGCAUGACAGAUCUUGAUUCUCAAUUUUUCCCCAUGCCCCUGCCCUCCCUUCACCCCCUACACCCUCCCCUAUUUAUGGAGACUUUGUUUCCAUUUUCAAAUUACACUUUCUAAUUAAAACGAUCUACAUGAUGGUUAUAUUUCUGAGUUAACCCAUAAUAUCAAUUGCUAAUUUAUCAUCUGGGUAAUCUGUUAUACACAAAUAUAAAUAUGAAGAAAAAUAUGAUAAUCUUCCCAUCCCCUACCCCCAGACACAACCACUAUUGAUGUUUUGGUGCCUGUUUUUCUCUCGGAGUGACAAAAAAACAUUUUGUCAUGAUUUUUAAUUAUCAGGAGCAAUUUCCUUUCACGAAUAAAAAUUCCUGUAAUGUGUAAACUGUGGGUUGAUGGCCUGAUUUGCUGAGCUUGGUUCCUUUAUCUGCACGGC